UGUGUGCACAUGUAUGUGCACAUGUGCAUGUGUGUGCACGAUACCCUCCACAUAGCA
rnacentral:miRNA from 1 species